rnacentral:lncRNA from 1 species
GCAUCCAACAUGUAUCGAACCACCUCUGGUCCCAACGGUGGUUCUGCUCUAGCCAGCCACGCUGCAACCAUUUUGGUAGCCGCUCCUCUCAAUGCAUCCUGUUGCGCUACUCCUAGAGGUCUUAUAUAGUGCAUCCGAGGUAGAAGUGGUUGUCCGUACGCCGCGCAAACAUCAGGUAGCAGCGACGGGCAAGCAAACCGGACCGCCACUUCGAUUUCACCCAUCUUCUUCAGACCGCUAGGUAACAGAACCAGUAGAGGAUACGAGUUGGUGUACACUUUGUUGCUCUCUAACGUCGAGACUCGUAUCCGUAUCUUCCCUAUCCGAGUAUCAGGUCUAUCAUCUGAAACAUCCGAGAACAUCCUCCAGUUGUCGAACACACCAACGGUUAAGACAGUGCAAGGAUCGUAAACCUGCCACGUGUACUGCUCGUGCCAUCUCGGGUCGAAACUGUCAGUAAUGGUUCUUGUCCGAACCCAUUUCUUGCCGUACUUAGCUACACAGUACGCAUCAGUGGAGCCUUUCCCUCCGUUUUUAGCCUUCAUCGGUAACAACCCACGAGCUCCGAGUAUCCCCAGCUCAAGUACUCCGAUCGGUGGUUUCCAUAGCUGCUUAGCCGUGGGACGGAAGUCGCUACACACGUGCGCCGCCUCUUCAAGCACGUGAUACCCACCUUCAAGACACAGUCUUAAGCUUAUCCUUCCACAGUAAGGUCCUCCACCACCACCACCUCCUCCUCCUCCACCGUCUCCUUCCAAAGCAUGCCAUUUAGACGGCACGAAACGCUCAUCGAUUCUCUGCUCAAUGGAGCUCACUGGGAUCAUCGCGUGCCCUAGAACCAUUGGCUCUUUACUCGUCCUAUCUUCAACCAUCAGCAUCAAGCAGUCUUCUAACGGCUCUCCAGCGACAAAGAUCAUAUCUUCAUGCCAAUGAAACGAGCCGCUGUGAUUAUUCAUCGAGCCACGUCUUGUCCUCGCCGACUGAAACCCUAACUGAGCUUUCACACGGACCUCAGGCGCCGUCAACGGCGGAAGAUUCGGAGCAAUGUGGAGAUCCUGCGCCUCGAGAACCGUCACUCUCAAGUACCAAAGCUUCGGCGACUGGUACACCUUGGAACGAGUGUGCGCCACGUGUGGAGCGUCGGAGCUCCACGCCUCCGGGAAAGCCUCGUCUACCUGAGUGCCGAUCCAUACAGAGAGCUGAAUAUCGCCGGAGACUCUCCCGGAGUUUUGAUCGGCCGCGGAGCCUUCGAGGCGGUACCACUGAGGAGCAAGCGGACUAUCCGGCGGGUCGCGAACCGGAACCUAAGCAUUUCGUNNNNNNNNNNNNNNNNNNNNNNNNNNNNNNNNNNNNNNNNNNNNNNNNNNNNNNNNNNNNNNNNNNNNNNNNNNNNNNNNNNNNNNNNNNNNNNNNNNNNNNNNNNNNNNNNNNNNNNNNNNNNNNNNNNNNNNNNNNNNNNNNNNNNNNNNNNNNNNNNNNNNNNAGAGUACAGUAAGUUACACGGUCAGGCUCACAUCCAGCCUCUUGCAUUUGGUUGAAAACAUUCAUAGCUUCUCUGAGGUAAUUUGCACGGCCGUAGCUGUGGAUAAGACGGUUAUAUGUAACGGUAUUUGGCUGACAUCCAUCUCUAACCAUCUCAUUGAGAAGCUUGUUUAUCUCACCGAACUGCUUUGCACGACCGAGGUUGCCUACCAUUGUGGUGUAAGUAUGGCCAUCAUGCUUAAACCCGGGUUGUCUUUUGAGCCAAUAGAAGAAACCAAGCGCAUUAGUAUAAUUAUCCAUCUGCUUGAGAACUUGGUUUGCUUGGUAUGCAUCCACCCUCAAGCCAACAUUGUGAAGGGCCUCUUCAGCAGCAGGUCCCCAUUUGAAUCUCCGCAAUAUGUUAGAAACAUUCUCUACAACGUAUCCAGAGUUGCAAUGCUGCUGCUGCCUAGGUGUUGUCACUCUCAUCAUUUCCCUAGAGGGUUUACUGAAACCUUCAGCUGGAAAUUUCAUGAUCCUGUCAUCAGAAGAAUGCGCGUUAAAGUCACAACCACCAGAAUCAACGUUGGUUCUUUGCGGCAUGCUUUUCCUCUUUCCAGAGACGUUAGUUGUUGUCUGUAAAUCCUGAGGUUCAAAAGGCUUCCCUGCAACAUCACUUGAAGGUUGCCUUAAGCCAGAUCUUUCAGCUUCCUUAGGGUAGACUUUAGAGAGAUCCUCUCUUCUGAUGACUUUCACAUUUGAAGGCUUCACAUGUGUAAUAGGCCGAGAAGAGUCAACAAUACAGCUUUUAGACAAACCAACGGCUUCAGCUCCAUCUGAUAAAGGGAUCUUAUAGUUUGCUAUAUCCGACAGGAAGUUCACAGUUCCAAUACCAAUAGGUGCCACCGCGUCUUCUUCAAUGACAACGGAAACAUGAUUUACAGAAUCUGGUUUCACAGGCAAAACAGGAGAAGAAGCAUGCUGGGGAAGAAGAGAUGGUCGGUGGAAAUGUUCAGCCUUUGCCUCUACUGGUAAUAGAUUCCCCGCUAGUCCAGCUGCUAAAGUCGAAGCUCUUUUCCCAGUCAGUACAGCUUCAUUUCUGUUUUGCUGGCGUCUCAAGACGGAGCUUUCAUCGUCGGCGGAUGUACAAGAGUUCCCAUCAGCUGCACCAGAUCUUGUUCCACCAAGGAAAAAGGAUCUCGCUGUACUGGAAAGAUUACUAAUCUGCUUUGCACGAAUCAUUGUCUGCAGAAAAUGAAAAAAAAAAGAGAUGAAUCACAAGCUCGAUCAGAGAGGCUCAAAAGAUUUAAACAUAGCCCCAAACAAAGAGAGUUAAUCCCUUGAGCUAUAUUGGCAACCUAUUAAUUACACACUACCUGAUAUAUAUAUAUCUCACCAUAUACACAUAGAGCUACCAACGUAGAAAUUAAGGUACAAUGCGUCGUAGUGUAACCAAGCUAUAAGUUAAAACAAACUCUCCUCCCACACAUAAAGCUGUAUACAUCUCUAUCUCUCUCACCCUUAACAAUUACUUGAAACCAAUAAACUCUGUACAUCAUUUAUUCCCAAGUCACCCUUUGUCUUGUAUCAUUCAACGGAAACAAAACAAAAAAAAAACUGAGUCCUUCCAUUUUUCUUUAAGCUUCUCCAUAAAGUAUCAUCCUUUAACACAUGACCAAACCAAGAAUAUACAACAACAACACUUUUUGAGCCUCCGCAUUUUCGAAAGUUGCUCAAAAUCAUUGUGCAAAUUCACCACAAUGAAAAAUGAGCCACUGUUAGAAUAUAUCCACCAUCUGAUUCCACAUUCAAAUCCUUAAAAUAGUUGAUUCAACUCCAAAAAAAAAAUUGCACAACUUCCUAAAACUAGAGUCAAAACGUUUUGAAUACGUUUAAAUCUAAGGGAACGCUACAACGCAGAGAAACCCAUGAAUCAGAACCGUGUCUAUUGCUAAAGAUUUCCAUCGGAAAAUGAAAGAGAGAGAGAGGGAAGCGAGAUCAACGAGACUAGCAAAAGUCUCUCUCACCUUCGAAAAUGGUGUGGAGUUUGACUUCCUUCGUCUUGCUUCGUGUUCCCCUGAUGACCCAAAAGGAGAGAAGAAAUCGAGUUUUUCUUUCUCCCUCUGUAGCCGUCAAAUGUGAAAGCUUCAAGCUUUUGUGUUUUGUUUUGCUCUCCAAGCAAAAUUGAGCAAAGGCUGACCUUGCAAAGCUCUCGACUUUAUUAUUGUCUUUUUUAAUUAUUUUUAUUUAUAAAAUGUUUUCCUUAACCUAGCUGGAUUUUCAAGUACACCCCUAUAUUUUUAUUUUAUUCUAUAACACCACUAUAAAUGUUAUUAUUGAGAGACUAGGCCAUUCACAUUUCAAUCUGAUGGAUACCAUAACAGUACCAGUGUUAAUUUAAAGCUUAUUAAUCGUUAAAAAAAGAGAUAUUCUUUAAUAAAAUAUUAAUUUAUUAUCUUUUUUUUGGUAAACUAUUAAUGUAUUAUCAAUCGACUUCCCCUGUUAGGUCUUGACUCUUAACACUUAAGUAACCAAUGUUGGGCAAAAACUGUAAUUUACAAGUUAAUGGGGUUGAUUUGUGAGAAUAAAAAGAUUAUAUGGGGGAUUUAGCUAUAAAAACGGUCUUUACUCUUUGUUCCCCUUUGUGCAACGUUUCAUUGUUGCCCUCCCCAAAUAUCGUUGUAUACGUGGCGUUGCUUUCAUUUUUUUGAAUACGACAGCUUUGUUAGGUUAGUAAAGAGUUGCGAGAUUUAGUGGAUAUGAUUCGUUACGAAAAACUAAAUAUCCGCCGCUUCCUUGAUUUAGAUUUGUAGAACGUUCUUGAUCACUAAAUAUGUUAAAAAAAUCCUAUAGAAAAAAAUGGAAAUUAUGAGACAAAUAUAUUGUGGAAUUAAAGAUUUUGGUCGGUUGAUUUAUGGAAAUAUAAUACAAACUCUAGAUAUAUUAUAGAUUUUGUAAUCAGGUAAGCCCAUGAUUAUGAGAUCAUUUGCCUUUAGGCCUCUUUUCCAAGCAUUUCGUUUAAGCUGAGAAAAUGUAAUUGGUUUUUGUAUCAGUUAGUCCAACCAGCCCAUUUUGUAUUUUCUUGCGAGACCAACUAUAAUAAUAAGAUGUAUAUACAUUAUGUAGUCAUGUCUCAUACUAUGUUAUGGACUUUUAUGCAGCUUUAAUAAGUGACUCGUGAAAGAGCAAGAAGAGCUCAGAACGAAAACAUGUAAUGGAAAGGUGCAGAAGAGAUAUCGAAUGAGACUGCUGGUGAUUUUAGGCGGAGUAUGACUGGUGACUAAUAAAUCAUUUAUUGAAGCAAUUAAUAAAGCAUUUCAUAUUACAGAGAGCAAGUACACAAACAUCUCUGUCGUUUGCUUCAAAAUAUUACAGUCAGGUCUCAAACUCGUACAAUCUGAUUAUAACUCCGACAGAAUCCGACUAAUAAAAUAACGAAUCAUAAUAAUAUGAUAUAAAGCAUAUCUUUUAAAUCGUAACACAAAAUGAAUCUUUAUUCUAUUCUCUUCCUCAGCUCAAGUAUCAUAAGAGACUUGGACACUAAAAAAAAACACCCUUAGAUGAGCCGAUCAGACAAGCUUGGCAACCGCCGGAAAAAACUGAGACUCGCCGUAGGCAUUGUGUCCCUAAACAUCGGGUGCCUAAGAUAGUAAAACCCAAGAGCCACCGCCACCAUUUUCGCCGGAACCACAUACAGAACUAUUGUGAUCACCAAACAUAUUGUUAUGAACAACUUAGUUGCUCUCGGAUCUCUCCAGCUAACCAACGCUUGAAUCCGUUCCCCCUGCGCUGCAAAAUCCCCUAGAAUAGUCUGAACCCUCACCGCUAAUAUCCUUAACCGAUCAUACCUAGCUCUGAUCACUUCCGGUCGCCUUGAGCUUGGUAUGGUGUCGAACUCUUCGUCUAGCUCAUCAGGAUCCACAGUUUCGGCUUGUGAUAACCGGAUAUCCAUACCAGCUGGUAUCUUGGGUCUGAACCGGUAGUACCAAACUCCGAUCAUCACUACAUACAAGAACGCUGUCGGGACGACUAAAUCAGGGUACCACACAAGAACCAGAUAAAGAAUGUGGACUAGCACCGUCGUCACUGGAUUCCUCCAUCGUCGGAUAUUAUCUAACCACUUAGCUAAACCCACCGCCCAAGCUAAAACCCCAACGAUCCUGUACCAAUUCGCUUUGCUCUUCCGCAUGCUCCACGAAUGUGAAUCUGCAUCCAACAUGUAUCGAACCACCUCUGGUCCCAACGGUGGUUCUGCUCUAGCCAGCCACGCUGCAACCAUUUUGGUAGCCGCUCCUCUCAAUGCAUCCUGUUGCGCUACUCCUAGAGGUCUUAUAUAGUGCAUCCGAGGUAGAAGUGGUUGUCCGUACGCCGCGCAAACAUCAGGUAGCAGCGACGGGCAAGCAAACCGGACCGCCACUUCGAUUUCACCCAUCUUCUUC